CAUCCACUGUUUAUUUGGAUUAAUAAAUCCGAAGAGUGGCGUUAGCUGAACUACCCGAGGGAAAAGUGCAAAUAAAGUGAAAUUCUUGAAAGAAGCAAAGGGAUAGGAGUACUGGAAAAUCUUAAUACAGCCAAGCCGGCCAACCAAUCUACGGUAUCAACUACUCAAACAACAAAGCUAACCGUUUGGGAGUAAGGGCUCGCGCACACUGUAGCUGAAAUCGGAGCUGAAAGCGGAGCUGAAAGCGGAGCUGAUAGCAGAUUUAUAAGCUCUGAAAAAACAAACACACUGCACCGGUGCAAGUGCGUACAUUGCAGACUGAGCUGAGCUGAAAGCUGAAAAAGCUCGCUGAAAUCAGCUCAGCUUAGUUUGAUCGAUCAAGCAUGUUUGUUUUUUCAGCAAGCUGAUUGCUGAUUUUGUUCAAGUGUAUUGGUUCAUAAGUGAUCGAAAAUGGGCUGCAAAACAUUGUUAAGCGAAAUUACGGUUAACCCAGAGCUGGGGAAUAAGCGGGAUUAUUAAAAAUAUUUGAAUCAUAGUUUUAUUUCUGGCAGGAGAUAAAUUGGGCAAAAAAGUUGUAUUAUUUACCAUUUUCAUAUGUCAAUAAUAAAUAUAAUAUACUAUGUCCCCAAGUACAGUAAACGCUAGGAAAACAUCACAAUGUUUAUUAUUAUACAACAUAAUGAAUAAUUGAGAAAUUUAAUAAUAAUUCGUAAAAUAAAAGUAAUACGAAUACAAUACAUAACGGAAAUGUGGUUGAAAUACACGGAAUAAAAAAAAACGAAGAAAACUUCCGUCUGGCUACUGUACGUGCUGUGAAGUAAUUAAUUAACAAUAUAAUAA